CUGAAUGGUCCCUUCACUGAUUCUACAAAAGGAGUGUCUUCAAACUGCUGAAACAAAAAUUCUACAAAAAGAAUGUUGCCAAACUGAUGAAUCAAAUGUAAGUGUUAUCUCAGUGAGCUGAAUGGACACAUCAUGAAGCAGUUUCAUAGAUAGCUUCUUUCUAGUUUUUAUCUUGGGAUAUUUGGUUUUUCACCAUAGGUCUUACUGUGCUCUGAAAUGUCCCUUUCUCAGAUUCUACAAAGAGAGGGUUUCUAAAUUCCUGAAUCAAAAGAAAGUUUAAACUGUGUGAACUAAAUACACUCAUCACAGUGUAGUUUCACAGAUAGCUUUUUUCUAGUUUUUAUCAUGGGUUAUUCUGUUUUUCACUAUAGGCCUCAGUGCAUACCAAAAUGUCCCUUCACAGAAUCUACAAAAAGAGUGUUUUUAACUUGCUGUAAAAUAGAAAGGUAUAUCUCUGUGAGCUGAUUUCACACAACACAAAGCAGUUUAAUAGAUAAUUUUUUCUAGUUUUUAUCUAGGGAUAUUUGGUGCUAUUCAGUUUUUAGGCAAAGUGGGCUCUGAAAUGUCCCUGUGUGGAUUCUUCAGAAAGAGGAUCUCCAAGCUGCUGAAUCAAAAGUAAGGUUUUACUCUGUGACCUGAAAGCACACAUUACAAAUCAUUUUCAUGGAUAGCUUCUUUCUAGUUUUUAUCUAGGAAUAAUUGUUUUUUUACUAUAGGCCUAGUGGGAUCCAAAAUGUCCCUCACAGAUCCUACAAAAAAAAGUGUUUCCAUACCGCUGAAUCAAAAGACAGAUUUAACUCUGUAAGUUGAAUCCAGACAUCACAAUUCAGUUUCAUGAUAGCAUCUUUUUUGAUUUUGUCACAAGAUAUUUGGUUUUUCACUACAGGCCUUACUGUGCUCUGAAAUGUAUCUUCACAGAUUCUACAAAAAGAGUGUUUCCAAACUGCUGAAUCACAAGAAAGGUUUUAUGCUGUGAGGUGAAUGCAGACUUCAAAAAGCAGUUUCAGAAAUGAAUUCUUUCCAGUUUUUACCAUGGGAUAUUUUGUUUUUCACUAUAGGCCUUACAGCUCUCUGAAAUGUCCCUUUGAAGAUUCUAAAGAAAGAAUGUUUUCAAAGUGCUGACUCAAAUAAAAGUUUAACUCUGUGAGCUGAAUCCACAUAUCACAAAGCAGUUCCACAGAUAGCUUCUUUCUGGUUUUUAUUGCAUAAUAUUCUUUUUUACACUACAGGCCUGAUUGCCCUCUGAAAUGUCCCUUUGUAGAUUCUACAAAAAGAGUGUUUCCAAACUGCUGAAUCAAAGGUAAGAUUUAACUCUGUUAGAUGAAUGCACAGCUCACAAAGCAAUUUCACAGAUGACUUCUUUCUAAUUUUUAUCAUGGGAUAUUUUGUUUUUCACUGUAGGUGUUACAGCACUUCAAAAUGUCCCUUUGCAGAUU
rnacentral:lncRNA from 10 species